ANCACCAGUGGCGAAAGCGGCUNUCUGGUCUGUCACUGACGCUGAGGCUNGAAAGCGUGGGUAGCGAACAGGAUUAGAUACCCUGGUAGUCCACGCCGUAAACGAUGAGUGCUAGGUGUUAGGUCCUUUCCGGGGCUUAGUGCCGGAGCUAACGCAAUAAGCACUCCGCCUGGGGAGUACGACCGCAAGGUUGAAACUCAAAGGAAUUGACGGGGGCCCGCACAAGCGGUGGAGCAUGUGGUUUAAUUCGAAGCAACGCGAAGAACCUUACCAGGUCUUGACAUCCCGAUGCUAUUCUUAGAGAUAGGAAGUUACUUCGGUACAUCGGAGACAGGUGGUGCAUGGUUGUCGUCAGCUCGUGUCGUGAGAUGUUGGGUUAAGUCCCGCAACGAGCGCAACCCUUAUUGUUAGUUGCCAUCAUUAAGUUGGGCACUCUAGCGAGACUGCCGGUAAUAAACCGGAGGAAGGUGGGGAUGACGUCAAAUCAUCAUGCCCCUUAUGACCUGGGCUACACACGUGCUACAAUGGUCGGUACAACGAGUUGCGAGCCGGUGACGGCAAGCUAAUCUCUGAAAGCCGAUCUCAGUUCGGAUUGGAGGCUGCAACUCGCCUCCAUGAAGUCGGAAUCGCUAGUAAUCGCGGAUCAGCACGCCGCGGUGAAUACGUUCCCGGGCCUUGUACACACCGCCCGUCACNCCACGAGAGUUUGUAACACCCG
rnacentral:rRNA from 1 species